GAUGAACGCUGGCGGCGUGCCUAAUACAUGCAAGUCGAGCGAACAGACGAGGAGCUUGCUCCUUCGACGUUAGCGGCGGACGGGUGAGUAACACGUAGGUAACCUACCUAUAAGACUGGGAUAACUUCGGGAAACCGGAGUUAAUACCGGAUAAUAUUUCGAACCGCAUGGUUCGAUAGUGAAAGAUGUCUUUGCUAUCCCUUAUAGAUGGACCUGCGCCGUAUUAGUUAGUUGGUAAGGUAACGGCUUACCAAGGCAACGAUACGUAGCCGACCUGAGAGGGUGAUCGGCCACACUGGAACUGAGACACGGUCCAGACUCCUACGGGAGGCAGCAGUAGGGAAUCUUGCGCAAUGGGCGAGAGCCUGACGGAGCAACGCCGCGUGAGUGAUGAAGGUCUUCGGAUCGUAGAACUCUGUUAUUAGGGAGGAACAAACGUGUAAGUAACUGUGCACGUCUUGACGGUACCUAAUCAGAAAGCCACGGCUAACUACGUG
rnacentral:rRNA from 1 species